AUUGAACGCUGGCGGCAUGCCUAACACAUGCAAGUCGAACGGAACUGGGGGCAACCCUGGUUUAGUGGCGGACGGGUGAGGAAUACAUCGGAAUUUACCUCGAGGUGGGGGAUAACCAAGGGAAACUUUGGCUAAUACCGCAUGAUCUCGUGAGAGCAAAGAGGGGGACCGCAAGGCCUCUUGUCUUGAGAUGAGCCGAU
rnacentral:rRNA from 1 species